ACUGCUGUUAAAUCAUCGGUUGCGUGGACCAGCGGGCCCAAAGCUUUUGCAGGCCACACUCCAAGCUCCUCGCCUUCGGUGCCUUCCAAUGGCGGACAAUGAGUGUCUUGUUGUCGGUGAUUGUGGAUCGAAACUUGUCUACUGCUCUCGAAACAUUCUCACGGUUUGGGCUUUGCGUUGUGCUUCUUGUUUCCUAUUCGUCUUCUCUUCCUGCAAUCCAGGAGGUGGCAGAGCUGUACCAAUUUUUCAUAUAAAUAGUGAAGAAGAUACAUCUGAAAAUGGUGUACUACAAAAGAAGAAUCUUAUCCGAAAAACAAAGGCUCCUCUGUUCCUCUGUAUUAAUUGGGGCACCUGGUACUAUGCUUUUGCUUUGCUUUGCCUGCAUGAACAAUGACCACAAGCUUAUAAGCAGAACUCGUAAUUUUCACAUUUGGUAAUAAUUUUCAUCUUUCAAAAGUCUGUGGGCUGAGGCAAAUUUUGAAAACCCAGCACCUCCUCCCCUUGUCGCCAAUUCAGGGGAUGACUACUGGUCAUAUAGGAUUUUCUAGCAUAGCAUUCUAUCCUUUAUGCAUGUAAUGAUAAACUGAGGAGAUGGACCAUGAGCUAUGAAUGUGCAGAUGCAAUGAAAAGGUUUUUAUUUUAUUUACAUAAUUCGUAGCAUGGUUGCUUGAAUGCAGGAUCAUCAGUUGGUGCUGGAGGCUCUAGACCGAAUAUCAUCUCGCAACUCAUAUCAUCAAAGUCUGCAACAAAUAUUAUGAUCAUCAUCAAUGUCUAUUAAACAACUCUAGUUGCAGUUAUAUUGCAGCUAUUCAACUAAUUAUAGACUUUUGUGUUAUUAUACAUAGGCUCUUUUUGGAAGAAUGACUGGCUUCAUGAGAGCAGAAGAAUUCAGUGUCUUUCAACUACAUGGGGGCUAUAUGGCACUUGGGAUCAAUCUGUAUAUUUACAGGCAGGAAUAUAGGUAUUACUCAUAUUGUUAUUUCAGAUAUAUGUUCAGUUUGUUUCUUAUAUGUAGCUUUGUUCCCUUAAUGGUUUAUACAUGGGGCCCUUGUUGACAUGAUGAGCAUGGCCUCCACAUUCUAGUGCAGGUACUAUUAUUCAAUGGAGAAUGAUUCUGUUUCCUUCUCUUCUGUCCUUGUAAUUAUUUUUUCAUAAUAUUUCCUUUAAGAGAAAAUUUGGAUUAUUUUUUCUUUGUAGGGACAACUUGAUACUAGUUCAUUCUAUUGUCGUUGUACCUUGUGGAUCUUCUUAAAAUAACAAAAAUUGUGUUCUAGAAAAAUGUCAUUUUUUGCCAUAGGAAUGUUUCCACCAUAAGUAGACAGGACUAACAAUAGGUUGCCAAUUCAUGUUAUUCAUCUCUUCUUUUUUUGUUUUUUUUUUGAGGAAAUGUUAUUCAUGGUUAAAAAGGUCAUGUCAACAGAACAUAUUAAUUGUUAUACCCACAAUCCUAACUCACCCUGUUUAAAAAUCAUGGCAUCAUUUACAAAUUCAAACCAGAUCUUCAUUAAAUGGAUUAAGUUAUUUAAACCUUUUUUGACUUAUUUUCGAAUAAGCUAGAUUAAUAAGUAAAUGAACUCAAAUCCAAUUUGAUACAUUUAACCCCUUUAUAAAAUAGUUAAUGUGUAUUUACUAAAAAUACACUAUAGUUUAAAUGUUUGGUUUAUUUAUUUAUUAAACAAUUAAAAGAGUACAAAAAACAUUAUGAUUAUAAAAUACUAAAGUAUACAAACAUCACAUAUAAAAGGUAAGUUACUCCAAACUAUAUAAACAGAAGAUGUAAUUUAAAAGAUGCAUCAUUGAACAAAGAUAAACAAAAAAUUAAUUAAUAAAUAUUAAUGUCAUCACCAUCAUCAUGAUCAUAUCACCUUAUUAUAUUUGUUUAAUAAGUCAUUAUUUAUUGUAUGCUUAUUUCAAAUUUAACAUUUUCACACUGUCAAACUAGUUUAAAUUAUUCCAAGGAACAGGUUAUGCGAGUUUAACUUUUUUAGGCAUGAUUCUUCUCGUGUAUAAAUAGAUUUAACUAUAUAUGAUCGUAACCUAUUUGUGCCGUGUAAGAUUUAGGUUUUCUUCAUUUAUUUUGAAGAACCAACAAUACAAAUUGAUGCCAAAAGGUGUGGAAGAAUUCUCACACUUGAACCAUGGUCAAUUAAUGGUUUCUGUGUACUUACCAGGGACCAUAUUUACUGGCAUACCCAGUGAGUCCUUAAUGAAGGCUUGUGAUGGUAUCUUGCACAAAUUGGUGCACAUUCCUACACAGUUGGUCUGCUCUAGAAACCUGCAAAAUUAGAGUGAGAAUAUAAGAGAAUGAUAUAAGGCUGAUCUAAGAUGAGAGGAAUGUUAAUGAUGAUUUUGGGAUUAUGGUUAUUCUGAUGAUAAUGAUGAGUGUCAUGAUAACAAAGCAAUAGAAAGAAGAGAGUCCAGCAGCAGCACAAUCAUUGAAGUAGGUUAUUUCAUAAGUUGGUGAGUGGGACCCUAUUUUUGAGUUAGCAAUGUAGGGAUAAAUUUAAAGAAAAUGUUAAAGUUACCUGCAUUUCUUUAUGUGCACUACAUUCUUUUCCAUUCUUCCAUCGAGCUCCGAUUCCCUCACCUGAGAUCACUCCGGUUGAGAUCAUUUACAAUUUACUUGAAAUAACUGGAGUGCACUAUUACGCAUUUAGAUACGUUGCUCUCAAAGAGUUGAAAGUAGCUUCAACAAAUCAUACCACUCCAUAGUGGUUAGGUUGGCUGUUACCUUAUUAAUAUAGUUGAUUAGUGGCCAAAGAAAUAUUCUGAGUAAUUUACUUGACAAAUGAGAGCUUUCCCAUGCAUAAUUCCUCUAGUAAGAAAACUUGCUUUUCAAGGAGGGGAGGGAUGCAUCGCCUUUCAAGGAUGAUUUGGUGUGAGUUUGUUAUAUUAAGCAUAUGUACUGAACUUUAAAAAAUUCCAAGAUUGACAAUUAUAGGUGGUGAAUCCUGUACUAUGCAUAAAAAAAUCCUGAUUUGAGAAAAUAUGUAAACAUGAGUGUUAUGAUGUUGGAAUUCUGCACACUAAAUAAUGUCUCUCACUGUAUCCUGCUAUCCUUGUUAAAUUGUAUCUAUCCAUGUCUCCUCAUUGGGAUGUUGUAUGAGAAAUCAGGAAAGAUUGAAUAGGCAGGGGAUGAAAGGGGUUUAAGGUUGGGGCUAAGAACUCAAGGGUGAAGAGGGAGGAACUACGUCGAGAAGAACAGAGAAAGACUUAAUCAGCAAUGCAUUCAUUUUAAUGUCAGUUAAGCCUAUUUGCAGGCUUUGCAUUCCUGUUGUCUAUGGCUUCUGCAACUUUGUCUGCCGGCCUUGUAAGAACGGCAAAAAUGGGAGAGCAUUUUGGUUUGAGUAUACGCCGCCUGCCGUAUAGAGCUGGAAGAGGACUUAUACCCUGCAUGGAUAGCUUGGCUUCCAUAUCUGAUCCAGACGUGAGAGAAGGGAGAUUUGGCGGUUUGAUUUGAAUGGUAAUAAUCGAAAUUAGCAAUAUGCAUAGAGUAUAACAGGGACAAGUAGAAAUAGAAUAUAACAACUAAGAGUGCAUGGAGACGAUGAUAUCAAAGAGUAUUAUUACGAGGAAUCUUUAGCACCAGUUAAGACAAAGAGAGUCUCUCAUGAGCUCGGAGAUGCUUUUUGUUGGUAUUAUGUGUUGUGUGUAUGUAAUAUAUCUGAGAAUACUAUAACCUCCAAAA